CACGUAGGGGGCAAGCGUUGUCCGGAUUUAUUGGGCGUAAAGAGCUCGUAGGCGGCUCAGUAAGUCAGGUGUGAAACCUCCAGGCUCAACCUGGAGACGCCACCUGAUACUGCUGUGGCUAGAGUCCGGUAGGGGAGCGUGGAAUUCCUGGUGUAGCGGUGAAAUGCGCAGAUAUCAGGAGGAACACCAGCGGCGAAGGCGGCGCUCUGGGCCGGAACUGACGCUGAGGAGCGAAAGCGUGGGUAGCAAACUGG
rnacentral:rRNA from 1 species